rnacentral:lncRNA from 1 species
AGCCUAUGACUCCUCUUAUUUGGGCCUAACAACUUUCAUAACAAAUAUAUAUGAAAUAGGAGUUUUGGGCUACCAGUUAGAAAGGAAAAUGGUGAAGUUUUGUUACUUUGGAAACUUGGCUACUAGCAAGACACCUCCUUUGUCCACUUCCUCGACCAAAGACUUGGGGGACUCCUACCAUAUGCUACUGCACCUUGAUACUCGGAAGUCUCACGACCACUCAAUGACUUGGAUUUUUUCAAGUCUCCAACCUAGAAGUUUUCCUCACUCGGGAAAUUAAGGGAGCACUACCUCAACCUACAUGCUUCACUCACAAAGCUUCAACAUACAAGCUUCAACAAAAGGAAAAAUUCAAAGAACUUAGUGAAGAAGACCUUAGUGUA